AAGAAACUUAAGAACAGAGAUUAAAAUAUUGACUUCUGAUGACAGAGAAAGUUAUUUGUUUCAUAUGAGAAUUUUUCUAGAGUCCUGAACUUAUGCAAUUUCAAUCCAUCCCAUAGUGAGUCAAGGUGAGAAGAAACACAUAGGCCUCAUCGAGAGGGCAGCAUCUAUCAAGAAACUUAAGGAUGAGAGAUUGGACAAAAGAGGACUGAAAAGUCAGUGUCCAUAGGACCACACAGGAAGGAUGCCCUAAAGGGUGUUGCAACAGGCAGAAAUUAAAAGAAGGAUACAUCACCAAGCAUGAGAGAAAUACCGGGGCAAGGAUUCCCCAGUAGUAUAGAAGAAGCAAGGGAACCAUAGCCCAUCAGCUCAUCCAGUUGCUUGACUCCCUCUUGUAAGGAGCAGCCCUGCAUCUUCAGCUCCCACUGAGGUCAAGGUUACUACACUUUUCUCAAAUUCCACAGUUAGAUAAAGAGAAAGAAAACACAAUUAUAAUCAGGAGAUUUGGGCAUUAACCCAAUUUGACCAUGAAGCCUUCAGUACAAAUUCUCAGACCCUUAAUUUCCUCUGUGGUAAAAAUGGCCUGAUAUUCAACUCAGUUUGGAAGGAAAGUUAAUGAGAUGAAUGGUAAAGGCCAGCAAACUGUGCACACGUAGAGCUUAGCUGUGAAUAGGUUUAGAGGUUCAAGAGACAGACAGGAACUGAUUGUAAAGUGGUCAGCAAAAACUCACUGUCUUUGUUCUGUCCCUCACUCGCCAGCUAUGAUACUAGUCAUUGCUGUUACUGGCCCAGACAGAUCCUAUUUCCCAUGGCUUCUCCAUCUUUUAUAGCCCUUAAAGGCAGAGUACUAACAGCUCCACAGAAAUGUGUUCUUGAAGUUUUAUCUUAACAAAAGCCACAUUACAUAGAGAAAGCUGCAAAAUGACACCCCCUUUCUUGGGGGGGGGAGAACAAAUAACUCAUGUUUGACUGUUCAAGUCCCUUGCCUUUGCACAGGCUACUUCAUAGUACAAUUUCUGCUCAUAGAUCCCCUUGACAUUAGCCUGGGUUCAGACUUCUAAACAAUAUACCUGGUUAUUUCUUCCCAUACUUUUCCCCCCUCCUCCACUCAUUUAGGUUUUUGAUGUUGUUGUUGUUAGCUUGUUUGCUUUGUUUUGUUUUAUUUUGAAACCCCAUUCUCAGUAAAUGAAUUAAUCAGCUCAGCUCUUGCUUCUAGGACACCAGAUGUCAGAUAAUAAACCUGCAUUUAUGUCGUGUUCUAUGGAAAUAAUAUAGAUAGUAUGACUGAACUAUAGAUGCCACUUUUAAUAAAAUAAUGAGUAGAAAGCAAGUGUAUGUUAUUGGCUUUUACAUUGAAGGCUUAAAUAUGAUAGUAUAUGACAUUGUUACCAGGUAAACUCUGUUCCUUGGAUUAUUAGACUAUCAUCAAAAUCCUAUUCAUGAAGCCAGGCAUGCUGGCACACACCUAUGAUCCCAGAAGUGGUGAACUGAGACAAGAGGAGCACUAGUCCGAAGUCAGCAUGAGCUCCAUAGGGAGAACCCACUUCAGAAAAAAAAAAUAAUAAUUUCAAGGCAUUAAUGUAAAACUUGAGAUUCUGGUUCAUGAAAUAUUUCUGGGUCCCACAGAUAAAAUCACAUUGCUUUAAUUCAUUUCUGCUCCACAGUACAGUGUUUCUCUUCAUUUUCAAUGUUCCUUUCAGGGUCAGUCUUCCUCUUAACUGCAACCUUGUGGCACUUUGCCUAAGUGGGAGGUAGAUAGAAAGCUCUUGUUUAUGGAUGAUAAAUCUUGUCUAGUUGUCAAUCUAAUGUGAAAAUUCUCUCCAUCACACCCCAGCCUCACAGUGUGGCCUCCUCCUGGGAGUCCUUUCUUUGGUCCAUGAACUGCUAGGCACUUAACAAUAUGGUGUUUUAUUCAGUCCUUGAAAGCCCCUAGGGAAAUAACCAAACCAAGUUUCACAUGUUUGCUUAUUAACGCAGAGCCAGCAAAUAGUACUAUACUUGAUGUUGGAAUUACAAAUGUUUAUUAACUAAACAAAUCUUCCUGCUGCCCAGCUUUCUUCCACUCCCCUACACUCUUCAGCCUCUUCUGGAAUACUCAAAUAUUCCAGUGUUCUCCUAGGCACACCAUUAUGUCUUCAAACUGACAAUUGAUAUUCAUAUUUCUUGGACCUCUGUUCUCUAGGUUCUGCCCAUGAAUCCAAGAAUGAAUAUUUCUUGUGCAGCCUUGUUUAUAGCUAUGUGAACUUUGACAAAUAUCUUAAUUUCUAGGACUUUCUAUUAGGGGAUAUAAUGCCUUUCCCACAGUUGUUAUAAGCAAUACAUGGAUAAUGGACAAUUGAACAAUCUUGAAGUCAUAAUUCCAUAAACAGUAGGUGAGUUAUACUUUAGUCUUCACAGUAACCUAUGGGCCUUUGUUACCAUUAACCUUGUUUAUGCAUGAGGAAACUAAAGGACAAUGAUAGCAUUUUCCCAGAGUCCGGUCACCCCUGGGGGGAGGGGUCACUAGUAUUAUUGGCCUCCAUCAUUAUCCCCUGGGUACUGUCUACCACACCAGGCCUCCAGAAUUCUCCUGAGGUUAGUCUCUAACACACUUGGCUGCCAGAAAUCUCUCCUAAGUGGUCGAUAGCACACUUGGCCUCCUGGCUACUCUCCAUUUCAAAGAGGAAGAGAGAUCUUUCCCAGUGGCAAGGGUGAGUGCAAAGAGGUCAAAGACAACUCAGAUUGAAGCUCAGGACCAACAUCACCUAAAAGUCUCUGGCAGAAAGAAUUCUGGAGUGGUCCCAAGAUACCCGCCCUUUGAUGUAUAUAUCUUGUUUAGUGACCUCCCCUCACAUCUGAGUAGCAUUUGAAAAUAGUAUAGGUCAUUUGUUACCUUAAUUAGGUUAAUCUGUAUGGCAAAGAAAAUAACUUUUAAUUUAGUAGAUCAGUUCAGAAAGAAAUGGGAAUGAAGAUAAAGGAGGGGGAGACAUGUCCUCCUGGCUUUGCUUGCUAUGGAUAACAGGACUCUGAGAAGAUGAUAUACCAAAGAACUGUCGUGGCUAGUACAAUUUAAGGGUAUUUCUAGAAACAUUCAGCAUGGAUGUUUGCAAAUAUCUCAUUUUUUCCCAACACUAGUGAGCAAAGAAGAAGAUACUGAUUAGAAAAUGUUCUGUCUGAAAGCUUGUUUUUAUCUUAGGAAACUCUCCCAUGGCAGGCUUGGUCUCCUGAGUCACCUACACUGAGUUAAUAGAUGUGUAUUGACUUAACCUGCUGUGAUCUAGUAAUGUGCUUGCCUUUAUGUUAAUACAAAGACUUGAGUCAAUUUUUUUCUAGUCCAUUCAAAUGGCUUGUGCUUACUUUUCAAUGUCUGCUUUCAAAACAAACAAAAUCCUUGGGUUUUGUUGUUGUUGUUGUUGUUACCAAAUAAAUACAAGUACAUUAU
rnacentral:lncRNA from 1 species